ACCGGCGGGUGUGGCGUCCCGCUGUGAUCUGAGCUUCUCAGAGGUCGGUUGGGGGGAGUGAGAAGAGUACUGCAUGGUGCCGGUGAGACACCAACGGUGUCGAUCCGCCCCAGCAGCUCGGCAGCCCCGCGGGGUGUCUCCUGGAGGGGAGAUGUCCCAUGGGAUGAUGAGGUGCGGAACGCCUAAGGCUGGAAACAGAGCAGGGAAAAGUGCCCGCUGUGGAGCGGUGCUGGGAUUACGGAACCAUCGGUCUCGCAGGGCGACAUGCAGCCUCUCUCACCACCCCCAACUUU
rfam:Eimeria praecox, Houghton, WGS project CBTT01000000 data, contig: Eph_contig737_10